rnacentral:lncRNA from 1 species
CGGAGAAACCUAAAGUGCCCGAGAAGCCCAAAGUGCCUGAGAAGCCUAAAGAACCAGAAAAGCCCAAGCAGCCGGAGAAACCCAAAGAGCCCGAGAAGCCUAAGGAGCCUGAGAAGCCAAAAGAACCGGAAAAACCAAAGGAACCUACGAAACCCAAGGAACCCGAGAAGCCCAAAGAGCCUGAAAAGCCCAAGGAACCCGAGAAGCCCAAACAACCUGAAAAGCCCAAAGAACCUGAGAAGCCCAAGGAAGCUCCUAAACCCGCACCGGUAGCUCCACCACCACAACCACCACCACCGUAUGCUCCAGAGCCAGUG